rnacentral:rRNA from 1 species
UACGUAGGGGGCAAGCGUUGUCCGGAAUUAUUGGGCGUAAAGAGCGUGUAGGCGGUCCGGUAAGUCAGCUGUGAAAGUCAAGGGCUCAACCCUUGAAUGCCGGUUGAUACUAUCGGGCUAGAGUCCGGAAGAGGCGAGUGGAAUUCCCGGUGUAGCGGUGAAAUGCGCAGAUAUCGGGAGGAACACCAAUGGCGAAGGCAGCUGCUGGGACGGUACUGACGCUGAGGCGCGAAAGCGUGGGGAGCAAACAGG